AACGCGAAGAACCUUACCUGGGCUCGAACGGCUUUGGAUCGACGGUGGAAACACUGUUUUCCCGCAAGGGACCGGAGUCGAGGUGCUGCAUGGCUGUCGUCAGCUCGUGUCGUGAGAUGUUGGGUUAAGUCCCGCAACGAGCGCAACCCUUGUCCUGUGUUGCCACUCCGUAAGGAAGCACUCUCAGGAGACCGCCAGCGAUAAGUUGGAGGAAGGUGGGGAUGAUGUCAAGUCAUCAUGGCCUUUAUGUCCAGGGCUACACACGUGCUACAAUGGUCGGUACAAAGCGCUGCUAACCCGCGAGGGGGAGCCAAUCGCAAAAAGCCGGCCUCAGUUCGGAUUGCAGGCUGCAACUCGCCUGCAUGAAGCUGGAAUCGCUAGUAAUGCCGUAUCAGAAUGAUGGCGUGAAUACGUUCCCGGGCCUUGUA
rnacentral:rRNA from 1 species